rnacentral:rRNA from 1 species
GGGUGAGUAACACGUAGGGAACCUGCCCGUGCACCGGGAAUACGCUCUGGAAACGGAGAACAAAUCCCGAUGUACAGGAAGGAGGCAUCUUCUUUCUGUGAAACAUCCUUUAGGGGAUGGGGCGCGGAUGGACCUGCGGUGCAUUAGUUGGUUGGCGGGGUAAAGGCCCACCAAGACGAUGAUGCAUAGCCGGCCUGAGAGGGCGGACGGCCACAUUGGGACUGAGACACGGCCCAGACUCCUGCGGGAGGCAGCAGUAGGGAAUUUUCGUCAAUGGGCGCAAGCCUGAACGAGCGAUGCCGCGUGAGUGAAGAAGGCCUUCGGGUCGUAAAGCUCUGUUGCGGGGGAAAAAAGGCAGCAUCAGGAAAUGGGUGCUGACUGAUGGUGCCCCGCCAGAAAGUCACGGCUAACUACGUGCCAGCAGCCGCGGUAAUACGUAGGUGGCGAGCGUUAUCCGGAAUGAUUGGGCGUAAAGGGUGCGCAGGCGGUCCUGCAAGUCUGGAGUGAAGCGCAUGAGCUCAACUCAUGCAUGGCUUUGGAAACUGGAGGACUGGAGAGCAGGAGAGGGCGGUGGAACUCCAUGUGUAGCGGUAAAAUGCGUAGAUAUAUGGAAGAACACCAGUGGCGAAGGCGGCCGCCUGGCCUGUUGCUGACGCUGAGGCACGAAAGCGUGGGGAGCAAAUAGGAUUAGAUACCCUAGUAGUCCACGCCGUAAACGAUGAGGACCAAGUGUUGG